rnacentral:rRNA from 1 species
UGGGGUAAUCUUCACUGUGACUAGCAUCUGCUAGUUUUCUGCAGUCGGCUUCGGCUGCUGUAGUGGCUGGCGAGAUUACUAAUAUAAAAUCAGCUGGAUUAAACAAGGCGAUUGCCUGAAUGCUCCUUAUUGGAAUAAUAGAAUAGGACUUCGGUCUUAUUUAUUGGUUCUAAGUUCGAAGUAAUGAUUAAUAGAGACGAUUCGGGGCUGUUCGUAUCAUUACGCGAGGGGUGAAAUCCGUUGACCGUAGUGAGACGUCCAAAAGCGAAAGCAUUCAGCAAGAACGUCUUCAUUAAUCAAGAACGAAAGUCAGAGGUUCGAAGGCGAUUAGAUACCGCCCUAGUUCUGACCGUAAACUAUGCCAUCUAGCGAUCUGAUGGGGUAAUUUGCCUUGUCGGGGAGCUUUCCGGAAACGAAAGUUUUUCGGUUCCGGGGGUAGUAUGGUUGCAAAGCUGAAACUUAAAGAAAUUGACGGAAGGGCACCACCAGGAGUGGAGCCUGCGGCUUAAUUUGACUCAACACGGGAAAACUCACCCGGUCCGGACACCAGAAUGAUUGACAGAUUGAUAGCUCUUUCUCGAUUUGGUGGUUGGUGGUGCAUGGCCGUUCUUAGUUGGUGGAUUGAUUUGUCUGGUUUAUUCCGAUAACGAACGAGACUCUCUCCUACUAAAUAGUUUCUGGAUAAUUAUCGUCCAGUGAACUUCUUAGAGGGAUAAGCGG